rnacentral:rRNA from 1 species
AGUCGAGCGGUAACAGAAAGUAGCUUGCUACUUUGCUGACGAGCGGCGGGCACGGGUGAGUAAUGCUUGGGAACAUGCCUUGAGGUGGGGGACAACAGUUGGAAACGACUGCUAAUACCGCAUAAUGUCUACGGACCAAAGGGGGCUUCGGCUCUCGCCUUUAGAUUGGCCCAAGUGGGAUUAGCUAGUUGGUGAGGUAAUGGCUCACCAAGGCGACGAUCCCUAGCUGGUUUGAGAGGAUGAUCAGCCACACUGGGACUGAGACACGGCCCAGACUCCUACGGGAGGCAGCAGUGGGGAAUAUUGCACAAUGGGCGCAAGCCUGAUGCAGCCAUGCCGCGUGUGUGAAGAAGGCCUUCGGGUUGUAAAGCACUUUCAGUCAGGAGGAAAGGUUAGUGGUUAAUACCCGUUAGCUGUGACGUUACUGACAGAAGAAGCACCGGCUAACUCCGUGCCAGCAGCCGCGGUAAUACGGAGGGUGCGAGCGUUAAUCGGAAUUACUGGGCGUAAAGCGUACGCAGGCGGUUUGUUAAGCGAGAUGUGAAAGCCCCGGGCUCAACCUGGGAACUGCAUUUCGAACUGGCAAACUAGAGUGUGAUAGAGGGUGGUAGAAUUUCAGGUGUAGCGGUGAAAUGCGUAGAGAUCUGAAGGAAUACCGAUGGCGAAGGCAGCCACCUGGGUCAACACUGACGCUCAUGUACGAAAGCGUGGGGAGCAAACGGGAUUAGAUACCCCGGUAGUCCACGCCGUAAACGAUGUCUACUAGAAGCUCGGAGCCUCGGUUCUGUUUUUCAAAGCUAACGCAUUAAGUAGACCGCCUGGGGAGUACGGCCGCAAGGUUAAAACUCAAAUGAAUUGACGGGGGCCCGCACAAGCGGUGGAGCAUGUGGUUUAAUUCGAUGCAACGCGAAGAACCUUACCUACACUUGACAUACAGAGAACUUACCAGAGAUGGUUUGGUGCCUUCGGGAACUCUGAUACAGGUGCUGCAUGGCUGUCGUCAGCUCGUGUUGUGAGAUGUUGGGUUAAG